rnacentral:rRNA from 1 species
GACGAACGCUGGCGGCGUGCUUAACACAUGCAAGUCGAACGAAGUGGCGAACGGGUGAGUAACGCGUAAUCAACCUGCCCUUCAGAGGGGGACAACAGUUGGCAACGACUGCUAAUACCGCAUACUGAAGUAGGGGAUUGCGUCUGAUGAGCUAGUUGGAGGGGUAACGGCCCACCAUGGCGAUGAUCAGUAGCCGGUGUGAGAGGAUGAACGGCCACAUUGGGACUGAGACACGGCCCAGACUCCUACGGGAGGCAGCAGUGGGGAAUCUUCCGCAAUGGACGAAAGUCUGACGGAGCAACGCCGCGUGAGUGAUGACGGCCUUCGGGUUGUAAAGCUCUGUUAAUCGGGACGCGGGAACGGAAGAGAAAGCAACGGCUAACUACGUGCCAGCAGCCGCGGUAAUUG